rnacentral:rRNA from 1 species
UACAGAGGAGCCAAGCGUUGUCCGGAUUUACUGGGCGUAAAGAGCGCGCAGGCGGUCGUUCAAGUCGCGUGUGAAAGCCCCCGGCUCAACUGGGGAGGGUCACGCGAUACUGAUCGACUCGAAGGCAGGAGAGGGUAGUGGAAUUCCCGGUGUAGUGGUGAAAUGCGUAGAGAUCGGGAGGAACACCGGUGGUGAAGGCGGGUCUCUGGGCAAUUCCUGACGCUGAGGCGCGAAAGCGUGGGGAGCAAACGGG